UCAAGCUAAGACUAAGAAAGGAAAGUUAAGGAUUUUCUAAAACUUUCUUGACUUCCUUUCUCUAAAAUCAUAGAAGGAUUAACUAAAAAUUGUUUACUUUGUUUUGUAGGGCCUAAAUAAAGCUUGGAAACUUUGAGUGAGCCAUCCAAGAAGUAGAAGGCAGCAAAAGGAGACCAAAAAGAACUUAAAGAUUGGCUUGCGGAUGGCUAAUUCAGAGGUGCGCCCAGCCUAAACCCCAAAAUAGCCCAGCGGUGGAAAAUAAAAUGCUUUCCCACGUGAGUAGAUGACCUGGACAGCAGCGUGGGAAUUGCUGGAGUGAAUGAGUGCAUCUUCUAGGAAUUUCAUUUGAAUUUAGGAAGCAUUUGAUUUCAGAAAAGAGGCCCGUCUUCCCCUAUAAAUAAGAGGGCUUCCUCUUUGUAUUACUCACUUUUGAGUUUAGUGAAAUGCUGCAGAAAUUGUUUUCCAACUAUUUUGCUCAAGUCUUUCUGAAGUUUCUAUUUCUUCUCUCAUUUCUCUAGCUUCCUUCUUCUGUAAGAAGGCUUUCUGAGCUGUGAGAUUUCACCUAAACAUCUCUCAUCAUUGUAAACACUUCAAUCACCACAAUACACAUCCAUUUCCACUGACUCCUCUACAUCUCGGAUGGCUUCCUGAUUGGAGCCAGAUCUCAAGGUCUUCUACCCAUAGCAGUCUCCAUCACAUAUCAGACAAAAAGAUAUGUAAGCUUACAUUGGAUCCUAGUGCUAGUUAAGAGGAUAUUACUUAAAUUUUACGUAAUUAGAUAUUUUAAUUGCUGGAAUGAAUUAGAUAUUUUAAUUGCCAUGUUUUCGUUAUUC
rnacentral:lncRNA from 1 species